rnacentral:rRNA from 1 species
CCUACGGGAGGCAGCAGUGGGGAAUAUUGGGCAAUGGGCGCAAGCCUGACCCAGCAACGCCGCGUGAAGGAAGAAGGCUUUCGGGUUGUAAACUUCUUUUAUUGAGGACGAAACAAAUGACGGUCCUCAACUAAUAAGCCACGGCUAACUACGUGCCAGCAGCCGCCGUAAUACGUAGGUGGCAAGCGUUAGCCGGAUUUACUGGGUGUAAAGGGCGUGUAGGAGGGACUGCAAGUCAGAUGUGAAACCCAUGGGCUCAACCCAAGGCGUGCAUUUGAAACUGUAGGGCUUGAGUGAUGGAGAGGCAGGCGGAAUUCCGUGUGUAGCGGUGAAAUGCGUAGAUAUACGGAGGAACACCAGUGGCGAAGGCGGCCUGCUGGACAGUAACUGACGCUGAGGCGCGAAAGCGUGGGGAGCAAACAGGAUUAGAUACCCGAGUAGUC